rnacentral:rRNA from 1 species
GAUGAACGCUGACAGAAUGCUUAACACAUGCAAGUCUACUUGAACUUCGGUUUGGGUGGCGGACGGGUGAGUAACGCGUAAAGAACUUGCCUCACAGUUAGGGACAACAUUUGGAAACGAAUGCUAAUACCUGAUAUUAUGAUUUUAGGGCAUCCUAGGAUUAUGAAAGCUAUAUGUGCUGUGAGAGAGCUUUGCGCCCCAUUAGCUAGUUGGAGAGGUAACGGCUCACCAAGGCGAUGAUGGGUAGCCGGCCUGAGAGGGUGAACGGCCACAAGGGGACUGAGACACGGCCCUUACUCCUACGGGAGGCAGCAGUGGGGAAUAUUGGACAAUGGACCAAAAGUCUGAUCCAGCAAUUCUGUGUGCACGAUGACGUUUUUCGGAAUGUAAAGUGCUUUCAGUUGGGAAGAAAAAAAUGACGGUACCAACAGAAGAAGUGACGGCUAAAUACGUG